CCUACGGGUGGCAGCAGUGGGGAAUAUUGCACAAUGGGGGAAACCCUGAUGCAGCGACGCCGCGUGAGUGAGGAAGUAUUUCGGUAUGUAAAGCUCUAUCAGCAGGGAAGAAAAUGACGGUACCUGACUAAGAAGCCCCGGCUAACUACGUGCCAGCAGCCGCGGUAAUACGUAGGGGGCGAGCGUUAUCCGGAUUUAUUGGGUUUAAAGGGUGCGUAGGCGGUCCGGAAAGUCAGCGGUAAAAGCCCGGGGCUCAACCCCGGCGAGCCGUUGAAACUGUCGGACUAGAGACGGCGAGAAGUACGCGGAAUGCGCGGUGUAGCGGUGAAAUGCAUAGAUAUCGCGCAGAACUCCGAUUGCGAAGGCAGCGUACCGGCGCCGGACUGACGCUGAGGCACGAAAGCGUGGGUAUCGAACAGGAUUAGAUACCCUAGUAGUC
rnacentral:rRNA from 1 species